UGGUGACCAUCACUGGCCAACGGUGACCAUCACUUGCCAACCGUGACCAUCACUGCCCAACCGUGACCAUCACUGGCCAAAAGUGUCCAUCACUGGCCAAAAGUGUCCAUCACUGGCCAGCGGGACCAUCACUGGCCAACAGUGACCAUCACCGCCCAACCAUGACCAUCUCUGGCCAACGGUGACCAUCUCUGGCCAACGGUGACCAUCACUGGCCAACAGUGACCAUCUCUGGCCAACAGUGUCCAUCACUGGCCAAAGAAAGGUGUCCAUCACUGGCCAACGGUGACCAUCACCGCCCAACUGUGACCAUCACUGCCCAAUCGUGACCAUCACUGGCCAGCGGUGACCAUCACUGGCCAACAGUGACCAUCACCGCCCAACCGUGACCAUCACUGUCCAACGGUGACCAUCUCUGGCCAAGGUUGACCAUCUCUGGCCAACGGUGACAAUCUCUGGCCAACGGUGACCAUCACUGGCCAACGGUGACCAUCUCUGGCCAACAGCGUCCAUCACUGGCCAAAGAAAGGUGUCCAUCACUGGCCAACGGUGACCAUCACCGCCCAACUGUGACCAUCACUGCCCAAUCGUGACCAUCACUGGCCAGCGGUGACCAUCACUGGCCAACAGUGACCAUCACCGCCCAACCGUGACCAUCACUGUCCAACGGUGACCAUCUCUGGCCAAGGUUGACCAUCUCUGGCCAACGGUGACAAUCUCUGGCCAACGGUGACCAUCACUGGCCAACGGUGACCAUCUCUGGCCAACAGCGUCCAUCACUGGCCAAAGAAAGGUGUCCAUCACUGGCCAACAGUGACCAUCACCGCCCAACCAUGACCAUCUCUGGCCAACGGUGACCAUCACUGGCCAACAGUGACCAUCUCUGGCCAACAGUGUCCAUCACUGGCCAAAGAAAGGUGUCCAUCACUGGCCAACGGUGACCAUCACCGCCCAACUGUGACCAUCACUGCCCAAUCGUGACCAUCACUGGCCAGCGGUGACCAUCACUGGCCAACAGUGACCAUCACCGCCCAACCGUGACCAUCACUGUCCAACGGUGACCAUCUCUGGCCAAGGUUGACCAUCUCUGGCCAACGGUGACAAUCUCUGGCCAACGGUGACCAUCACUGGCCAACGGUGUCCAUCACUGGCCAACGGAGACCAUCUUUGCCCAACGGUGACCAUCACUGCACAACCAUGACCAUCACUGGCCUACGGUGACCAUCUCUGGCCAACGAUGACCAUCACUGGCCAACGGUGACCAUCACUGGCCAAAGAUGUCCAUCACUGGCCAACGGUGACCAUCACUGGCCUGCCCAACGGUGACCAUCACUGCCCAACCAUGACCAUCACUGGCCUACGGUGACCAUUACUGGCCAACGGUGACCAUCUCUGCCCAACCAUGACCAUCACUGGCCAAUAGUGACCAUCACUGCCCAACGGUGACCAUCACUGCCCAACCAUGACCAUCACUGGCCAGAGGUGUCCAUCUCUUCUGUACCUCCCCCUUGGGGGCGUGUUCAUCCCGGGCCCGCCUCCCCCCAGCGAGGGCACACACGGAAAUCUUUAUGCAAUCUGCAAGGACGACAAUAAGCUUUAUUGACAGACAAACCGACCUCAACAACACAAAGUCCAUCAUCUGCCGGAUCAUUCUUCCCGAAGUCUCACCUUCUGGAGGGGGAUGGGCACAGAUGUAUCUGCUGUGCAGCCUAUGAGUGUGCGCCGGUCACAUGACUGUUCUCUGAUUGGUCUGCCAGUCACAUGACUUCUCUGAUUGGCCUGCCGUUCACAUGACUGUUCUCUGAUUGGCCUGCGAGUACCAGACUCUCCGCCCACAUCCUCAGACUGAUUUUACGUUGAUCACUGAUAAAGGGGGCGGUCUCUGUAAAGGCGGCCUUUCUGGAUUGGACGGUUUCCAGCUCAGGGAAGGGGGAGGGGCCGGAAUAUUGAAUAUAAAAUGUGAUGUGAAAUCUUUUCCAUACGA